rnacentral:rRNA from 1 species
GACGAACGCUGGCGGCGUGUCUAAUACAUGCAAGUUGAGCGAUGAAGCUUGGUGCUUGCACCAAUUUGAAGAGCAGCGAACGGGUGAGUAAAGCGUGGGUAAUCUGCCUUUGAGCGGGGGACAACAUUUGGAAACGCAUGCUAAUACCGCAUAACAACUUUAAACAUAAGUUUUAAGUUUGAAGGACGUAAUUGCAUCACUCAAAGAUGAUCCCGCGUUGUAUUAGCUAGUUGGUGAGGUAAAGGCUCACCAAGGCGUUGAUACAUAGCCGACCUGAGAGGGUGAUCGGCCACAUUGGGACUGGGACACGGCCCAGACUCCUACGGAAGGCAGCAGUAGGGGAUCGUCGGCAAUGGACGAAAGUCUGACCGAGCAGCGCCGCGUGAGUGAAGAGGGUUUUCGGAUCGUAAAACUCUGUUGGUAGAGAAGAACGUUGGUGAGAGUGGAAAGCACAUCAAGUGACGGUAACUACCCAGAAAAGGACGGCUAACUACGUG